GGCAUCAGAGACCAUCGAUAUGAAACCCUGAUCAAAGAGUUCAAAUUUCAAAUUCAAAAUUUAAAAUUCAAAAUUUUAACCCCGGUACCCAAAAUGUGUGGAACUCAUGAUCAGAGAAUCCUAAUUCUCAAUCAUAGAGUUCUAGACACAUAAGACUCAUAAUCAGCCAUCAGAUCAGAAAGGAACCUCUAAUGUGUGUGAUCCUGCAGGUUCGAACCUAAGCCGGUAGCAUAGGAACCAAUUCCUGUACUAAUCGAAGUGAUCAUCUAGCAAUGGUACCCGAUGACCGGAUAGAUCGAAUAGUCGUAAUCGCAAUAUUCAGAACCUACGUGAAUAUGGUUACCGUAUAAUUCAUCCUUUUUGACCCCUGUAUUUAGGACGACUCAAGGUUAACUGUCAACCCUGAUGAGAUCAUCCGAAUCGUGCUCAACUCAAUUAGUCCUGUGACUCCUCACUAGGACUACCCUGGCCAAGAUUUUGCUAAAUUGAAACACGACUGUACACAGCUCCUAAACUGGAGUGGUCAAUCCCAUCUUGACACACGCACCGACAAGUCAAGUACUUGACUACACCCAGCAGCCUUCCGUCACUGAAUUAGAAAUUCAGGUAGUCCAGUACCUAAGUACAGUGAGUUGCUUGCAAGUCAUCGUGGCGGUCUC
rnacentral:lncRNA from 1 species